rnacentral:ncRNA from 2 species
UGAAAAGGACUUUGAAAAGAGAGUCA